rnacentral:snoRNA from 1 species
AAUCUGCCAAUGAUGUAUACAAGUAUUUACAUACUAUCUGUGAUGAAAAACAACUUUAUAUUCGUCACUACCUCUGAGGCAGUUGAAUU